ensembl:snoRNA
CCUGCCUGCGCCACAGAUUCAGCUGCUCUGCUCCACCUGGGACGUGGAGGCAAAGAGGAAGUGGCUGUUUCUAUGCUCAGCACUCAGAAUAGUGAGCACUAAGAACGGUUUAUAGCCUAACACAC